rnacentral:rRNA from 1 species
AGAACGAACGCUGGCGGCAUGCCUAACACAUGCAAGUCGAACGAGACCUUCGGGUCUAGUGGCGCACGGGUGCGUAACGCGUGGGAAUCUGCCCUUAGGUACGGAAUAACAGUGAGAAAUUACUGCUAAUACCGUAUGAUGUCUUCGGACCAAAGAUUUAUCGCCUAGGGAUGAGCCCGCGUAGGAUUAGCUAGUUGGUGGGGUAAAGGCCUACCAAGGCGACGAUCCUUAGCUGGUCUGAGAGGAUGAUCAGCCACACUGGGACUGAGACACGGCCCAGACUCCUACGGGAGGCAGCAGUGGGGAAUAUUGGACAAUGGGCGAAAGCCUGAUCCAGCAAUGCCGCGUGAGUGAAGAAGGCCUUCGGGUUGUAAAGCUCUUUUACCCGGGAAGAUAAUGACUGUACCGGGAGAAUAGCCCGGCUAACUCCGCGCCAGCAGCCGC